CAGUUCGGAUCGCAGGCUGCAACCCGCCUGCGUGAAGUUGGAAUCGCUAGUAAUCGCGGAUCAGCAUGCCGCGGUGAAUACGUUCCCGGGCCUUGUACACACCGCCCGUCACACCAUGAGAGUCGGGAACACCCGAAGUCCGUAGCCUAACCGCAAGGGGGGCGCGGCCGAAGGUGGGUUCGAUAAUUGGGGUGAAGUCGUAACAAGGUAAC
rnacentral:rRNA from 1 species